rnacentral:rRNA from 1 species
UGGGGAAUAUUGCACAAUGGGCGCAAGCCUGAUGCAGCCAUGCCGCGUGUAUGAAGAAGGCCUUCGGGUUGUAAAGUACUUUCAGCGGGGAGGAAGGGAGUAAAGUUAAUACCUUUGCUCAUUGACGUUACCCGCAGAAGAAGCACCGGCUAACUCCGUGCCAGCAGCCGCGGUAAUCCGGAGGGUGCAAGCGUUAAUCGGAAUUACUGGGCGUAAAGCGCACGCAGGCGGUUUGUUAAGUCAGAUGUGAAAUCCCCGGGCUCAACCUGGGAACGGCAUCUGAUACUGGCAAGCUUGAGUCUCGUAGAGGGGGGUAGAAUUCCAGGUGUAGCGGUGAAAUGCGUAGAGAUCUGGAGGAAUACCGGUGGCGAAGGCGGCCCCCUGGACGAAGACUGACGCUCAGGUGCGAAAGCGUGGGGAGCAAACAGG